rnacentral:misc_RNA from 1 species
AAGUCGUAACAAGGUUUCCGUAGGUGAACCUGCGGAAGGAUCAUUAGAAAUGUGCCGCAAGGCCUUAUCUAACCACACACAACUGUGCACGCCUUCGGGCAUAAACUAUUUAACGGUAAUGAAUGUAACAAAGUUAACACAAUACAACUUUCAACAACGGAUCUCUAGGCUCUC